GGAAGUAAAAGGUCGUAACAAGGUUUCCGUAGGUGAACCUGCGGAAGGAUCAUUACCUAGAGUUGUAGGCUUUGCCUGCUAUCUCUUACCCAUGUCUUUUGAGUACCUUCGUUUCCUCGGCGGGUUCGCCCGCCGAUUGGACAAUUUAAACCAUUUGCAGUUGCAAUCAGCGUCUGAAAAAACAUAAUAGUUACAACUUUCAACAACGGAUCUCUUGGUUCUGGCAUCGAUGAAGAACGCAGCGAAAUGCGAUAAGUAGUGUGAAUUGCAGAAUUCAGUGAAUCAUCGAAUCUUUGAACGCACAUUGCGCCCCUUGGUAUUNCCAUGGGGCAUGCCUGUUCGAGCGUCAUUUGUACCUUCAAGCUCUGCUUGGUGUUGGGUGUUUGUCUCGCCUCUGCGCGUAGACUCGCCUCAAAACAAUUGGCAGCCGGCGUAUUGAUUUCGGAGCGCAGUACAUCUCGCGCUUUGCA
rnacentral:misc_RNA from 1 species